GGGGGAGAGGGUACCAGCCUGCUGUGGAGGAAGAGAGGCUGACUGAGCCCUUGGAUUCAGCCAGCCUGCACUGCUGGCUGUGUGACCCAGCCUUCAGGAGAGGAGACAUCAGCAGGCUGAGGAGCCCAGCCUCAGGUCGGGGGGUCCACCAGUGCCCUGUUGUCUCAAGAAAGCCCAGCAUCACAAGGGUGAGCAUUUCUGCUUAGGGGGAGGCCUUGAGCACUGAGGGUGAAGAGUUGGAUGGAUGGACGAAAGCCGGUGUCCUGCAUAGGCCCAGCUUCCUCAGGUGGAGGCAGCCGCGUCCCCAUGGCACCUCAGCCCAGGCCGGGGGGUCCAGGAGCAGAGUGAGUCGGGGAAGACACCAGAGAAGGCAAUCACAGCUCUGCUUGGCUCCGCUCCACUCCACGGCUGCUGAG
rnacentral:lncRNA from 1 species